rnacentral:lncRNA from 1 species
GGGAUGAUUCAUCUGUUGCGAGGGAUAGCGAGGUCCAAUCACUCGAUCAAUCAUGUAUCGCGCACUCUAUCCGAUGGGAUUCCUUCCUUCUGGUAAAGCUAGCCCAUCGGCGUGUGUCGGUCGUGUCAGCUUGUGCCUUUGCCGAUGCCAUAUCCUUUUGCCACCUUUUUUUUUUCCUUCCCAUUUUCUAUGCGACCACGCCUCUGCACCAGUCUAAUGGCAUGGGGCGCUGCAGAAAAGGAGAGCAACAAAGACAAAGACGCAAAGGUAAGUUGAGAAGUGCAAAAGAACGAGAUUGUUUAGGCCAUGAUCUCCAUUGAUAUCAUGUACUUGUGCCUCAUAAAAGUUCUUGUACCUGGUGCCGUUCGUUACUUAACUAACUACUCUAAUUCAGUGUAGGAAGUAGUAAAGCUUCAUAUAGUUGAUGCGCCCAAGAUUGGUGUUCGAAUUGGGGAACAAUUCUUUAUUAGAAAAAAAUUGGGGAACGAUUCUUCAGUUAGUAGAGAGAUCUUGUAUGGAGAAAGAGAUGUUCUAACUUCGGAGUCUUUACCUUUGAGUCACAGCCAUAUGAACCUAAAUGUGGUGGGAUCCGGUGAUGAUUCAUGAUACAGGGUCAAAGUUAGAGGAACAUCUCCCGUUGUAUGAUAAGUUGGUAACAAUGUUAGAAUUAUUAGAAAAAGAAUUGUACUAGUGGUGGUAAGUAUUUUUAACUGCAUAUAUGUCCAUCUAAUUUGGACUUCCAAAUCAUAGGGCCAACUUGGAUGCCUACUUUGUGUCAUUCAUCGUGAACUAGUUCCCAAUGAAUGCACUGACUCCCUAAUAACAAAGUGGGAACUGUACUUGCAAAGAAAUUAUGUCAUCUUAAAUACGAGACGAGAAUACAUGUCACCACUCACCAGUGCGCAAGGAUGCAAGUGGGUACCCAAUAGUGUUGUCUAGGUCAGCUGAUUAAUUACGAUGACAUGCCACUCUAAUUCAUUUCUCCGCCCAAAUUAUUUACGCAGAAUGCCAUUCUCGUUCAUUUUGUCAACCUUUUAGAUCGACCCAAUACCCCAAAAUAUGUAUAACUUGCGUCCCUACCGGUGCGUUAAGGUUAGUUGAAGCGAGACGAGACAAGGCCGCACACUUGGCCAUAAAUUGACGGCAGCACGGGGAACUCCAAAUCUUUCACGACGGAAAAUGACCUAGCAACUAACCUGGGGUUUGAAGCCGGCCGUUGCCCGGAGACGUUCAGCCUUCAAAUUGACACGCCGCCUAC